CCUGGCCCGGCCCGCGGCCCUGGCAGCGUGUCUGGUGGACCCCGGGGAGCGCGGUCGGCCCCGUGUGCGCGUGGCGGGCCGGCGACCCCAGGGAGGGCGCGGAGGGACGCCGGCACCCAGGGGAGACCGUCGUCCGCGGACCCAGGAAGCCCGGGGGACCCCCAGCCGCGGCCAGAGCCAGGGGCCCCCCACCCAGCCGUCCCCACGGACACAGCCUCAGAGGCAAAGACUUGUCUUUCACCUCAAGGUUCACUCUUUCCAGUGUCACCGGAAGGUCCCAGCGAGAGGCGGUCAAGGGAGAUGCACAGCUUGGGGUCCAGCAGACGGGGGCCUCUGUGCCUCAGGUGACGGCUGUGGCUGCCGAUGCCCUCCCCAGUGGGGUGACGGCAGCGAUGCCGUGGCCACCAGGCCAGGAUUCUGGAGGACCCCGCGAACGGCAGCCGCACCACUGUGGGUCUCUGCUGGUGACGCGCGCGGGGCAGCAAGACCCUCCAGCUGGCCUCCCCACCCCCUCCUCUGGAGGUCGGGCUGUCGCGGGGCUGCCCUGGGCACGACCUGGGGUCUGGUGCUGCUCCCCGGCCUCCACGAGGGAGUUGUCACCUGCGACAAACGGUGUCUAGCCACACGGGGAAAUGUCCACACGCCUGGGGGACAGGGAUCUCCGUGUCCCCUCCUGUGAUGAGGACGCUGGGCCCUCAGGCUCUAGAACUUUCCCAAGGAGACUUCGUGGAAACGGUGAACCCAGCCCUGCCCUGGCCCCACCUAGUGUUUUCUUUCCUUUUCCUUUCUCAGUUUCUGAAUGGGAAGCAGGGCACCUCUGUGCGGACUGUGUGUGUCAGCGUUUAUCGCCACGGCCGGACUUUUCUUAGCUAGAAACUCCCCUCGGUGCCCAAAACGGAAGAUGAGCCCUAAAACUUCACACACAUAGCGGGUCCUCGCUCCGGCAGAGAGGCCUGGUGCUCGCCAGGGCCCCGUGCAGGCGGAGCUUGGAAAUUUACUUCACUUGAGGAUGCGCGCAGGUUCACGCCCACGACCGCGGGCCUGGCCACCCUGUGCCGCCACACCCAGCCCGCCCCUCCUCCCGUCCUCAGCCCUGCAGCCACACCUGCUCUUCCCUCUGGCUUCAGUCACGUCAGUGUUCACACGCGGGGUCACAGAGUCCGGAGCCUCCGGGACUGGGGUCUCUGCCCUGCAAGUUCGCGGGAGACGGUCCAGGUGGCCGUGGGCACAGGUGCCUUGCUCCUGGUUCAGGCGGGACUCCACUGCGUGCAGGGACCACAGGGUGUUAACCGCCUCCCUGCGGGAGGGCCUCUGGGCCGUUUCGGGUUCUCAGCUGUUACGGACCAAACCGCCGUGAGCACCGAGGUGUCGGCUCUCGGGAGAACGUGUUUGCCUUUCUCUGGGAUGGACGGAGUUCUGUUUCACGAGGGACCGUCACGGCGGCUGCAGCGUGUCGCACUCCCAGCAGUGCUCUGGGGGCCUUGGUCUGUCCGUCCGUCCCCACCUGCUCUCGCCGUGGCCGCCGUGCUGACCCGGGUGCGGGGCGACUCACGGGGGCUCCAGCCUUCAUCCCCCCACAGCCAGUGACGCCCUCCUCGCCGUCGGUGCUCCCCCUCGGUGAGAGCCGCGUGCCUUCCCCGGUUCUCCGGUUGAAUCGUCUGCUUCUUCGCUGCUGAGGCCUGAGAAUUCUGGACGGAUCCCAGGAACUCGUCCUCAGUUGUCGACAAGUUUUCUCCCAGUCGAUACUUUCUUUUCUUCCUCUCUGCAGAUUCUAGUUUUGAUGGGGUCCAAUUUACUCAUUUCUCAUCUUCCGGGUCACGGGAUCAUGGGGCGCACAGCUUAAUUCACACCCCUGCUUCCUGUCCCCCCAAAUCCUGACCGCGAGUCUGAGCAGACCCCUCAGGCUUGAGGAUUCCCCGACCCGAAGCGACACGUGAAAUCCUCCAUCCCAGGAGCUGCAAAGCCGUGGCUGAAAACCGUGCUUCGCACCUGAUUUGUUAUUUAAAAAGUAAAGCAAUCAUCUCCAGUUAACGUUCCGGAGACUUCAAGGAAGAUCUGGGUGUCCUGCUCCUCCUGACCUGGGAGCGCUGCCGUCCUAGCACCAUGCCUGGUGGCCAUCCUGGUGGCGGUCCCGCCUGCCCAGGCCGCGCUGUGGGUUUGCUCCACUCGCUGACCUCAUUGGCCCCAAUUGCUUGUCUCACCGAUGGGAAAAUGGAGGCCCAGGGGGGUGAAGACGCUCCCUUGGAGACACAGUGAUGGAAGCCAAGGGCAGAAGCGUUCACCUCCCCACAGCAGAGAACAAGCUUCUCUAUGAAGCUUCCUUCCCAGCUCAGUUGAAUGCUCCCACGGAUGGGAGGCUCACUGCCACAGUCUUUGUGUUCGAGUAGCUUUCUCCGUUGGGAAGUUUGGCUGUGACAGCACAGAACUAAAUGGAAGCAUCUGCCCUUCCGAUGCCGUGCGUAAGUGAAGUGCGGAUGCUAUUUAAGCCUGUGCGAAGCAGACGCCAUCUCCCCAGUGGGGUGUGGGUCAGAAUUGGGUCACAUGUCUCGAGAGCCUGAAGUGUGUGUUUUCCUGUCCCAGGACAGAUGGAGAGCCAGCUCCUGGCUGUCCAUCCCGGCCUGAUCAGCGAGUGCAAAAUGUGCAUUUCUGCGUGAAAUCUGAGGUUCACGAUAAUAAAAUCUGGGAGCAAAAUAUAA